UCGAGCGAGCUUGCCUAGAUGAUUUUAGUGCUUGCACUAAAUGAAACUAGAUACAAGCGAGCGGCGGACGGGUGAGUAACACGUGGGUAACCUGCCCAAGAGACUGGGAUAACACCUGGAAACAGAUGCUAAUACCGGAUAACAACACUAGACGCAUGUCUAGAGUUUGAAAGAUGGUUCUGCUAUCACUCUUGGAUGGACCUGCGGUGCAUUAGCUAGUUGGUAAGGUAACGGCUUACCAAGGCAAUGAUGCAUAGCCGAGUUGAGAGACUGAUCGGCCACAUUGGGACUGAGACACGGCCCAAACUCCUACGGGAGGCAGCAGUAGGGAAUCUUCCACAAUGGACGAAAGUCUGAUGGAGCAACGCCGCGUGAGUGAAGAAGGGUUUCGGCUCGUAAAGCUCUGUUGGUAGUGAAGAAAGAUAGAGGUAGUAACUGGCCUUUAUUUGACGGUAAUUACUUAGAAAGUCACGGCUAACUACGUGCCAGCAGCCGCGGUAAUACGUAGGUGGCAAGCGUUGUCCGGAUUUAUUGGGCGUAAAGCGAGUGCAGGCGGUUCAAUAAGUCUGAUGUGAAAGCCUUCGGCUCAACCGGAGAAUUGCAUCAGAAACUGUUGAACUUGAGUGCAGAAGAGGAGAGUGGAACUCCAUGUGUAGCGGUGGAAUGCGUAGAUAUAUGGAAGAACACCAGUGGCGAAGGCGGCUCUCUGGUCUGCAACUGACGCUG
rnacentral:rRNA from 1 species